CUACAGAGGGUGCGAGCGUUAAUCGGAAUUACUGGGCGUAAAGCGCGCGUAGGCGGCUUAUUAAGUCAGAUGUGAAAUCCCAGGGCUCAACCUUGGAACUGCAUCUGAUACUGGUAAGCUAGAGUUUAGGAGAGGGAAGUAGAAUUUCAGGUGUAGCGGUGAAAUGCAUAGAGAUCUGAAGGAAUACCAGUGGCGAAGGCGACUUCCUGGCCUAAAACUGACGCUGAGGUGCGAAAGCGUGGGUAGCAAACGGGAUUAGAAACCCUAGUAGUCC
rnacentral:rRNA from 1 species